GUGGGGAAUAUUGGACAAUGGGCGAAAGCCUGAUCCAGCCAUGCCGCGUGUGUGAAGAAGGUCUUCGGAUUGUAAAGCACUUUAAGUUGGGAGGAAGGGCAUUAACCUAAUACGUUAGUGUUUUGACGUUACCGACAGAAUAAGCACCGGCUAACUUCGUGCCAGCAGCCGCGGUAAUACGAAGGGUGCAAGCGUUAAUCGGAAUUACUGGGCGUAAAGCGCGCGUAGGUGGUUCGUUAAGUUGGAUGUGCAAGCCCCGGGCUCAACCUGGGAACUGCAUCCAAAACUGGCGAGCUAGAGUACGGUAGAGGGUGGUGGAAUUUCCUGUGUAGCGGUGAAAUGCGUAGAUAUAGGAAGGAACACCAGUGGCGAAGGCGACCACCUGGACUGAUACUGACACUGAGGUGCGAAAGCGUGGGGAGCAAACAGGAUUAGAAACCCUGGUAGUCC
rnacentral:rRNA from 1 species